AGAGUUUGAUCCUGGCUCAGGAUGAACGCUAGCGGCAGGCCUAAUACAUGCAAGUCGGACGGGAUAGAAGAGCUUGCUUUUCUUGAGAGUGGCGCACGGGUGCGUAACACGUAUGUAACCUACCCUUGUCAGGGGGAUAGCCUCUCGAAAGAGAGAUUAAGCCCGCAUAACACUAUGAUAUGGCAUCAUAUUAUAAUCAAAUAUUUAUAGGACAAGGAUGGGCAUGCGGAACAUUAGCUAGUUGGUAAGGUAACAGCUUACCAAGGCUACGAUGUUUAGGGGAUCUGAGAGGAUGGCCCCCCACACUGGUACUGAGACACGGACCAGACUCCUACGGGAGGCAGCAGUAAGGAAUAUUGGUCAAUGGGCGCAAGCCUGAACCAGCCAUGCCGCGUGCAGGAAGACGGCCCUACGGGUUGUAAACUGCUUUUGCAGGGGAAUAAACCUCAGGUCGUGACCUGAGUUGAAUGUACUCUGAGAAUAAGGAUCGGCUAACUCCGUGCCAGCAGCCGCGGUAAUACGGAGGAUCCGAGCGUUAUCCGGAUUUAUUGGGUUUAAAGGGUGCGUAGGUGGCUUUUUAAGUCAGGGGUGAAAGACGGUAGCUUAACUAUCGCAGUGCCUUUGAUACUGAAGAGCUUGAAUGGACUAGAGGUAGGCGGAAUGUGACAAGUAGCGGUGAAAUGCAUAGAUAUGUCACAGAACACCAAUUGCGAAGGCAGCUUACUAUGGUUUUAUUGACACUGAGGCACGAAAGCGUGGGGAUCAAACAGGAUUAGAUACCCUGGUAGUCCACGCCCUAAACGAUGAAUACUCGAUGUUAGCGAUAUACAGUUAGCGUCAAAGCGAAAGCGUUA
rnacentral:rRNA from 1 species